rnacentral:lncRNA from 1 species
UGGAGAGCAGCCAGGUUAGGGUCUCUCCCUUCCCUAAGACUCCCCAGGCACCCCUAAAAACUGGUUCAGUUCCAGUCCAGCCCUCGGCAAGCUCGAGGUUCGUCUUGAAGGUCGGAGGCUGACUGGAGACAUCCUCAGAACACUAAGGUUUGGGUGUCCGCGCGAGGGGGAGGGGAGGGGCAUAUGAUGCAAUCAGAAGCCAAAAUGCAAAGGAGACACAGCCCGUUGCCAUCUCCGACCACAGUGUGAAUUUUCCAGUGACAGAACGUGGCGUGCAUUUGACAACUCUAGCAUAUGUAACUGCUGUUUCCGUAGCUCCCA